rnacentral:lncRNA from 12 species
GCCACAUUCUCUGAUAGACAGGAGUACCUCCAAGGGAAAUAUUUUCUCCAUGAACAUUGUGGAAAUUUGGGGUCACUUCGUGUGUUUUCAGCACAGUAACCAAUGAACUAGACAUGAAUUACAAAUACUGCAAUCCUAUCAAAAUUCAUUGAUA